AUUGAACGCUGGCGGCAUGCCUUACACAUGCAAGUCGAACGGCAGCACGGGUGCUUGCACCUGAUGGCGAGUGGCGAACGGGUGAGUAAUAUAUCGGAACGUACCUUAUUGUGGGGGAUAACGCAGCGAAAGCUGUGCUAAUACCGCAUAAUCCCUAAGGGGGAAAGCGGGGGACCGUAAGGCCUCGCGCAAUUAGAGCGGCCGAUACCUGAUUAGCUAGUUGGUGAGGUAAAGGCUCACCAAGGCAACGAUCAGUAGCUGGUCUGAGAGGACGAUCAGCCACACUGGGACUGAGACACGGCCCAGACUCCUACGGGAGGCAGCAGUGGGGAAUCUUGGACAAUGGGGGCAACCCUGAUCCAGCGAUGCCGCGUGAGUGUAGAAGGCCUUCGGGUUGUAAAGCUCUUUUGUCAGGGAUGAAACAGCAGCUCUAACACAGUUUGCGAAUGACGGUACCUGAAGAAUAAGCACCGGCUAACUACGUGCCAGCAGCCGCCGUAA
rnacentral:rRNA from 1 species